rnacentral:rRNA from 1 species
GUGAACGCUGGCGGUAGGCCUAACACAUGCAAGUCGAACGGCAGCACAGGAGAGCUUGCUCUCUGGGUGGCGAGUGGCGGACGGGUGAGGAAUACAUCGGAAUCUGCCCAGUCGUGGGGGAUAACGUAGGGAAACUUACGCUAAUACCGCAUACGACCUUCGGGUGAAAGAGGGGGAUCGCAAGACCUCUCGCGAUUGGAUGAGCCGAUGUCGGAUUAGCUAGUUGGCGGGGUAAUGGCCCACCAAGGCGACGAUCCGUAGCUGGUCUGAGAGGAUGAUCAACCACGCUGGGAGUGAGCGACGUUCCUGACUCCUGCGGGACGCGCCAGAGGCGAAUAUUGGACAAUGGUCGCAAGCCUGAUCCUGCGAUACGGAGUGAGUGCAAAAGGCCUUCGGGUUGUAAAGACCUUUUGUUGGGAAAGAAGUCUUUCAGACUAAUACCCUGCGAGAAUGACGGUACCCAAAGAAUAAGCUCCGGCUAACUUCGUG